UCAUGCCCCUAUCCUGUUGAUCUUUCCUCACUUAAAAAUUAUCAGAAAAGAAUUUAUUCAUUUGGGAGGAUUCCAGGCACUACAUUUAUGUUGAGUUCAGAUGAAAUGGGAUCCAGACUUUUCAAACCGUACUAUUUUACAGAUAAAACACAAAGGCAGAACUUCAUUAUCUGGAGACACUGCCCUUUCUUUUUUCUCCUGCCUUUUGUUUCUGAGCAAUUUUAAGCUUGUUUGGAAAGUAUCAUAACAGGGGCAGAGCGUUUUUUACCGCAUCUAUUUCAGGAGGGUUUUUAAUACAGAAUAAUAAAAUUAUUGCUAAACAGAUGGAAGAGUUUUACUAAAGCUAGAAAAGACACUUUUGCUAAUACACCCUAUAGGCUGAUCUCAAUUCUUUCAUUGUUAAGAAUGCUUGGUCUAAGAGAGUCUUAUUUAUGUGCCAAAUGGCUUUAUUAAAUCAUUAUAUUAACACAGAAAAAGUCCUAUUACAAUGACGGUCUCUGUAUGAUCAAAACUUGUCCAUGAUCCUGCUGAUAGCCUAUUUAUUCUGAAAUUUAAAAAGGUAACAUUCCAGUACAGCCUAAUGUUUGGCCAAGUUUUACAAAAUUCAUUAUAAUAUGGCUGGAAGGGUUACUAUGUCCUAGCCAGGGAAGGCCUAAGUUUUAUCAGGGCAGUAGUCCCCUGACAAAAAGAAAACUGUGAAAAAGAGACCUCUCAUCCACUCAUAGAAAUUAAUCCCUGGCAACAUUGUAAUGAUUUCACCUGUAGAAAUACAAUGGGUCUGUGAUUUCUACUUUGAUUAAUAAAAAAACAAACAAAAACAAAAACGCAGGGUAAUCUCAGUGCUUUGGGAGGCUGAGGCAGGAGGAACACUUGAGGCCACAAGUUUGAGACCAGCCUGGGCAACAUAGCAAGACCCUGUCAAUACAAAAAAAUUAAAAACUUAGCUAGGCAUGGCGGCUUGUGCCUGUAAUUUCAGCCACUCAGGAGGCUGAGGUGGGAGGAUUGCUUGAACUUGAGAGUUUGAGGCUACAGUGAGCUAUGAUCAUGCCACUGCACUCCAGCCUGCGUGACAGAGCAAGACUCUGACCCCUCCCUACCGCCCCCCGCCGACCAAAAAGAAUCCCAGGGGCAAAUUCAAAGGCAAAUUAAUUGCACUGGUGAACCAGGACUAUGGCAUGUGAAAAGAGUUUAAAAAGCCAGGAGAAGCAAAGUUUGUUGUAUACUGGAUUUUGAAACCGAAUAAACACAGAUGCACACACAAUUUUUGAAUGUAAAAUUAAUACAUGUUGAUUGCAGAGAAAAAAAAUCACUCCUAAGCCUACCACUGAGAAAGCAUAUGUGUUUUGGCCGCCCAAGAUUGAUUUCUGCCUUCACGUGGAAGUAAGCUUUAAAGGCUCUGUGUUAGGGCAUAGUCUAGAAACAUGGGGCCCCAUGGGCACCAGGAAAACUUACAAAGGGAAGAGAUGGAACUGGGAGGGUUCAAGCUACCAGUUCCAUCUCUCCAUGUUUUAGAGAAUUGGGGCACUAAGCCAGGUAAGGUCAGGUCAGAGGAGGGCCCGGAUGAAGCAUGAGACGCAGAGGGACAGUGCGUGAAUGGAGACCUUGGGUAGCACCAACGUGUAGUGGCAGAGGUGGGAUGGCUGUGGCUGAAGUCAGGGAGAGAAUGGGGAGCAUGCACAGGGCUCAGUCUUAUACAUACAUUGAAAAUCCUUUAGCCUUUCAAAGAUUAUUAACCCAAAUCACCUUUCUUGCUUACUCCAGAUGCCUCAGCCUCUGAUAUAAUUGGUAAGUAUCUGCCGUGUUAAAAAUAAACAUUUGAGAAUCAAGGGUGAUUUUUCUCUUUUCUUUUGAAUUGUAAUUGCGAUGUACUCAUGGCCUGCCAUGACGUGAGUUCUGGCUUAGAUUAGCCCCUGGCUGAGAGUCCCAUGCUAAUUUAGUGCCUGCAAUUAUGCCUGCCUCUAAUCGUGUUCUGCUCUUUGUAGGAUGUACCCUUUGCAAUAGAAGCAACGGCUAUGCUGGGUCAUCUAUACUUUCUUGCCCCAGGCCGCUUGUGACACACAUUGCGGUUGAUUGCGAGGAGCAGCGGAAGGAAGGAUGUAUCAAACCGAAAGAAGAAAGAACCCCUGCCAGUCGCCCCCAUGACAUCCGACUCUGAACGGCAGCGAUCUAGAGGCUGCGGCGUGUUGCAGAUUAACAGCAGCGAGGGCAGGAGGCAAAUCAGAUGCCGCAGGAGCUGACUGUUUUUUUUAGCCCUGAGAGCUGACUGUAGGCACAGGUUGCAUAUCAAAGGCAACGGGAAUCAGUCUGUGGCAAUAUUACAUCAGGGACCAUUUCAGUAGAGCCUUUUAAGACACAUGUUUUGGAAUACAGUCAAAUGCGUGCUGCUGUAUGACCAGCCUAUCUGAACUACUUAAGCAUCAACUAAUUAAUCUGCAAGUGAAGAAUACUUCCAGCAUUACUCUAUAAUUAGACAAUCUCAGGAGGAAACAAGAGGAUUUCAAAGGGGAGUCAGAUGGUUUUGCAGACCGCUACAUCAUUUAUUUUUUCAUCACUCAGAUUAUGCCUCCAAAUCCUACAGAAGUAUAACAACCAUAGAACAGACAAACACCAACAGCAUCAACAACAGAGAAACUCAGUCCAGGAGGAUAUGAAACCCUUUGUAAUAAAGAAAGCAACAGCCAUGAA